CUCUUGAAGAUCUACUUACACCAUAUGGAUUUUACCCCUUCAGGUGGGUCAACUAAUAUCCACACAUCGUUGACCUUCAUGGACUUCAUUUUGAAUUUUAUGGCUUCUUGCCACUUAUCAGAGUCAGACCUCUAUAUUGCAUUCAUGUAGGAGAUCGAAUCCUCAUUAUUCUCAUCGAGCUCAAUAAGAUUCCCAUCUCGGAUCAAGAAACCGUAGUAUCUAUCCGAUGGGCGUGAUACUCUAUCAGAUUUUCUUAAUGGUGCAUCAUUAAC
rnacentral:lncRNA from 1 species